rnacentral:rRNA from 1 species
UACGUAGGGGGCAAGCGUUAUCCGGAUUUACUGGGUGUAAAGGGAGCGCAGGCGGUAAGGUAAGUCAGAUGUGAAAGCCCAGGGCUCAACCCUGGGACUGCAUUUGAAACUAUCAGACUAGAUUGCAGGAGAGGUAAGUGGAAUUCCUAGUGUAGCGGUGAAAUGCGUAGAUAUUAGGAGGAACACCAGUGGCGAAGGCGGCUUACUGGACUGUAAAUGACGCUGAGGCUCGAAAGCGUGGGGAGCAAACAGG